rnacentral:rRNA from 1 species
UAGGGAAUCUUCGGCAAUGGACGGAAGUCUGACCGAGCAACGCCGCGUGAGUGAAGAAGGUUUUCGGAUCGUAAAGCUCUGUUGUAAGAGAAGAACGAGUGUGAGAGUGGAAAGUUCACACUGUGACGGUAUCUUACCAGAAAGGGACGGCUAACUACGUGCCAGCAGCCGCGGUAAUACGUAGGUCCCGAGCGUUGUCCGGAUUUAUUGGGCGUAAAGCGAGCGCAGGCGGUUAGAUAAGUCUGAAGUUAAAGGCUGUGGCUUAACCAUAGUACGCUUUGGAAACUGUUUAACUUGAGUGCAAGAGGGGAGAGUGGAAUUCCAUGUGUAGCGGUGAAAUGCGUAGAUAUAUGGAGGAACACCGGUGGCGAAAGCGGCUCUCUGGCUUGUAACUGACGCUGAGGCUUGAAAGCGUGGGGAGCAAACAGGAUUAGAUACCCUGGUAGUCCACGCCGUAAACGAUGAGUGCUAGGUGUUAGACCCUUUCCGGGGUUUAGUGCCGCAGCUAACGCAUUAAGCAACUCCGCCUGGGGAGUACGACCGCAAGGUUG